rnacentral:rRNA from 1 species
AUUGAACGCUGGCGGAAUGCUUUACACAUGCAAGUCGAACGGUAGAGGGGGCAACCCCUCGAGAGUGGCGAACGGGUGAGUAAUAUAUCGGAACGUGCCCAGUCGUGGGGGAUAACGUAGCGAAAGUUACGCUAAUACCGCAUACGAUCUAAGGAUGAAAGCGGGGGAUCGCAAGACCUCGCGCGAUUGGAGCGGCCGACAUCAGAUUAGGUAGUUGGUGGGGUAAAGGCUCACCAGGCCAACGAUCUGUAGCUGGUCUGAGAGGACGACCAGCCACACUGGAACUGAGACACGGUCCAGACUCCUACGGGAGGCAGCAGUGGGGAAUUUUGGACAAUGGACGCAAGUCUGAUCCAGCCAUUCCGCGUGCAGGAUGAAGGCCCUCGGGUUGUAAACUGCUUUUGUACAGAACGAAAAGGUUUCUACUAAUACUAGGAGCUCAUGACGGUACUGUAAGAAUAAGCACCGGCUAACUACGUGCCAGCAGCCGCGGUAA